rnacentral:rRNA from 1 species
ACGCUCGACACCUACGGGAGCAGCAGUAGGGAAUCUUCCACAAUGGACGCAAGUCUGAUGGAGCAACGCCGCGUGAGUGAAGAAGGUCUUCGGAUCGUAAAACUCUGUUGUUAGAGAAGAACACGAGUGAGAGUAACUGUUCAUUCGAUGACGGUAUCUAACCAGCAAGUCACGGCUAACUACGUGCAGCAGCCGCGGUAAUCUGAGCGGGCUGGCAAGGC